UGGGAUCGGAUUCUUCAGACAAGUCUGGAAGGUAAAGCCUUGUGUAGAAUUAUAUAUCACAUUCCUCUCUCUAAUUUCGACCCUAGAUUAGUUAGUAAUUAAUAUUUCUAUUCUAGAUGUAAAAAAAAAAAAAAGAUCUAUUGUUUAAUUAGGAUGAGUCUGAACAGGACUUGGUGGCUAAAACCAUUAAGGCUUGAUUCACAAAGACUCCAAUAAAAGGAUUCGAACGGG
rnacentral:lncRNA from 1 species